AUUGAACGCUGGCGGCAGGCCUAACACAUGCAAGUCGAACGGAUGGCGGACGGGUGAGUAAGGUCUUGGCACCUGCCUAAUGGAGCGAGAUAACUACUGGAACCGGUAGCUAAUACCGCAUACUAUCAGAUGGGCCUUGGGUGGAGUAGCUUGUUGGGGGGGUAACGGCUCACCAAGGCGUCGAUCCCUAGCUGGUCUGAGAGGCUGACCAGCCACACUGGAACUGAGACACGGUCCAGACUCCUACGGGAGGCAGCAGUUGUGAAUAUUGGACAAUGGGCGCAAGCCUGAUGCAGCCAUGCCGCGUGUAUGAAGAAGGCGUUCGGGUUGUAAAGCACUUUCCUCUGCGACGUUGUACCUGCCGAAGAAGCAACGGCUAACGCCGUGCCAGCAGCCGCGGUAAUUC
rnacentral:rRNA from 1 species